AUUGAACGCUGGCGGCAGGCCUAACACAUGCAAGUCGAGCGGUAGAGAGGUGCUUGCACCUCUUGAGAGCGGCGGACGGGUGAGUAAUGCCUAGGAAUCUGCCUGGUAGUGGGGGAUAACGUUCGGAAACGGACGCUAAUACCGCAUACGUCCUACGGGAGAAAGCAGGGGACCUUCGGGCCUUGCGCUAUCAGAUGAGCCUGGGUCGGAUUAGCUAGUUGGUGAGGUAAUGGCUCACCAAGGCGACGAUCCGUAACUGGUCUGAGAGGAUGAUCAGUCACACUGGAACUGAGACACGGUCCAGACUCCUACGGGAGGCAGCAGUGGGGAAUAUUGGACAAUGGGCGAAAGCCUGAUCCAGCCAUGCCGCGUGUGUGAAGAAGGUCUUCGGAUUGUAAAGCACUUUAAGUUGGGAGGAAGGGUACUUACCUAAUACGUGAGUAUUUUGACGUUACCGACAGAAUAAGCACCGGCUAACUCUGUGCCAGCCGCCGCGGUAACAC
rnacentral:rRNA from 1 species